rfam:Xenopus laevis strain J chromosome 8L, whole genome shotgun sequence.
GCUGAGGUUCUGUCUGAUAUGUUUGAUAUUAGGUUGUUUUACUGAAACUCAACUAAAUAUCAUACAUAUUGCUACAGCGCCCUGGC